rnacentral:rRNA from 1 species
AACGAACGCUGGCGGCAUGCCUAACACAUGCAAGUCGAACGAUGCCUUCGGGCAUAGUGGCGCACGGGUGCGUAACGCGUGGGAAUCUGCCUUUCGGUUCGGAAUAACUCAGGGAAACUUGAGCUAAUACCGGAUAACGUCGCAAGACCAAAGAUUUAUCACCGAAAGAUGAGCCCGCGUAGGAUUAGCUAGUUGGUGAGGUAAAGGCUCACCAAGGCGACGAUCCUUAGCUGGUCUGAGAGGAUGAUCAGCCACACUGGGACUGAGACACGGCCCAGACUCCUACAGGAGGCAGCAGUGGGGAAUAUUGGACAAUGGGCGAAAGCCUGAUCCAGCAAUGCCGCGUGAGUGAUGAAGGCCUUAGGGUUGUAAAGCUCUUUUACCCGGGAAGAUAAUGACGGUACCGGGAGAAUAAGCCCCGGCUAACUCCGUG